UACGAAGGGGGCUAGCGUUGUUCGGAAUCACUGGGCGUAAAGAGCACGUAGGCGGACUUGUUAGUCAGGGGUGAAAUCCCGGGGCUCAACCCCGGAACUGCCCUUGAAACUGCAAGUCUUGAGUCCGAGAGAGGUGAGUGGAAUUCCUAGUGUAGAGGUGAAAUUCGUAGAUAUUGGGAGGAACACCGGUGGCGAAGGCGGCGAGCUGGCCUGUACCUGACGCUAAGGCGCGACAGCGUGGGGAGCAAACAGG
rnacentral:rRNA from 1 species